UCUCCGUUGGUGAACCAGCGGAGGGAUCAUUACAGAGUUGCAAAACUCCCAAUCCAUUGUGAACGUUACCUAUCCCGUUGCUUCGGCGGGCGGCCCGGGCCCCGCGCCCGGCGCCCCCCGGCCCCCCGUGGGCGCCCGCCGGAGGUAAACCAAACCCUUGAAUUGCAUGGCCUCUCUGAGUCUUCUGUACUGAAUAAGUCAAAACUUUCAACAACGGGUCUCUUGGUUCUG
rnacentral:misc_RNA from 1 species